rnacentral:rRNA from 1 species
UACGUAGGGGGCGAGCGUUGUCCGGAGUUACUGGGCGUAAAGGGCACGCAGGCGGUGCGGCGCGUUUCGCGUGACAGCGGAGGGCUUAACUCUCCGAGGAUGCGAAAGACGGCGGCACUUGAGGGCCAGAGAGGGACACGGAAUUCCGGGUGGAGUGGUGAAAUGCGUAGAGAUCCGGAGGAACACCGAAGGCGAAGGCAGUGUCCUGGCUGGUGACUGACGCUGAGGAGCGAAAGCGUGGGGAGCGAACAGG